AACGAACGCUGGCGGCAGGCUUAACACGUGCAAGUCGAGCGCCCCGCAAGGGGAGCGGCAGACGGGUGAGUAACGCGUGGGAAUCUACCCAUCUCUACGGAAUAACGCAUGGAAACGUGUGCUAAUACCGUAUACGUCCUUCGGGAGAAAGAUUUAUCGGAGAUGGAUGAGGCCGCGUUGGAUUAGCUAGUUGGUGGGGUAAAGGCCUACCAAGGCGACGAUCCAUAGCUGGUCUGAGAGGAUGAUCAGCCACACUGGGACUGAGACACGGCCCAGACUCCUACGGGAGGCAGCAGUGGGGAAUAUUGGACAAUGGGCGCAAGCCUGAUCCAGCCAUGCCGCGUGAGUGAUGAAGGCCCUAGGGUUGUAAAGCUCUUUCACCGGUGAAGAUAAUGACGGUAACCGGAGAAGAAGCCCCGGCUAACUUCGUGCCAGCAGCCGCCGUAACAC
rnacentral:rRNA from 1 species